rnacentral:lncRNA from 1 species
AAAUGCUCUGAACAUGCGAUUUAAGAGCUGGCCCAUGCUCGAUGACUGGAAGGAGAUAUUUGGGAAAGAUAGGGCCAAUGGAGUUCAAGCCGAAGAUCUAAUGGAAGCUGUUCAUGACAUGUACACUGCUGAAAACAUUGCGCAGGAGGACCGUGGGGCAUAUUUCAAUUCAGCUGAUGAGGAGGUUCCAACCGACGAGGCAGAGGUCAGUGUUUGCCAGACUGAGAAAAAAUGCAACAGGGGAGGUGGUUCCAAGAAGAAACGCAAGUCGCCUGAUGAGUUUGAUAGAUUGUGUGAUGUGCUUGGUGAAAUUGGUCGCGACACUGGACUGAGGCUCGGGGACCUUGUAACUCGCAUCGGUUAUGAAUUUGACCUUGGGCAAGCUCGGCAGACCGUAUUUGAGAAACUUGGGGCUAUAUCUGGAUUGUCCACGAAGGAGAAGUUCGAAGUGUGCGAAAUGCUGGCUGAUAAGGUGCAACGUCUUGAGAUAUUUAUCGGGCUGUCGGAGGAUGCUAAGGCCCAGUACGUUGCGUAUCUGCUGGAGUCGAAGUUAAACUAGGUUCAAAUUAUAAUUUGGCAAAGUAGUUGAUGUUAAUAUCCCUUUUGUGAUUAAAACCUAUAGCAAGUAUGAAGACUACGUAACAGCUCUUGUGACUCAUUUUAGGAUAUCCUCUAUUUGUGUUGAUCGACCUUUUGUAAGAUGCCAUAUAUCUCGAGCGUACCAUAUUAUCUAUGAUGCCAUAUAUAUAUAUAUAU